CUGUGCUGAGUUUUUCGAAGGUCAGAGCAGAUUGAACCUUUGUGCUUUCAUUUUUCCUGAUUUUGAUUUUUCUUAUGGGGAUCCACUUUUCCUGCAUUCGAGGUGACUCGAAGAAGCCUUCUAAAAAGCGUGUGAAAAGGAAGCCCUACUCUACUACCAUGUUACAGGUGAUUUCAUUGAGCCCAAUCAAUGAAAUUUUGAGAAGAUACAGCCUGUACACCAACCAGCAUCAGAGGCAUCAUGGCUUCUGGAGAAAGAAGAAGAUACAGCCACAAGAAGCCUCUGAGGAGCCUCCAGCUCGCAAGGACAGAGGAGGUGGAGAGAGGCCAGUCAACGCGAGGGUGGUGCGGGUGGCCCCUCUGAGGCUUGGUUUUGCUCCUUGUGGGUACGCUGUACAAGACAUCUCUAAAGAAGACACUGUAUAUGACAUCUGUAAUGAGGAUGCUGUAGACAUCUCUGAUGAGGACACUGUAGAUAUCUCUAAUGAGGCUUCUGUACAUGACAUCUCUAAUGAGGCUGCUGUAUGUGACAUCUCUAAUGAUGCUGUAAACAUCUCUAAUGAGGCUGCUGUACGUGACAUCUCUAAUGACGCUGUAGACAUCUGUAAUGAGGCUGCUGUACAUGACAUCUCUAAUGAGGACACUAUAGAAGACAUUUCUUAUGAGGACACUGUAUACGACAUCACUAAUGAGGAUGCUGUACGAUACAUCUGUAAAAAAGAAGAUGCUACCAAGGAGCCAUUGACACUGGAGAAUGAUUUGAUUGUGGAGAGCAUGUCUGAUGACGAGGAUUUUGCAGCUUAAAGGGAUCUCCCGGGGUGAGUGAGGAGGCGGGAUCGGACCCUGGCAGUCUGACGGCAGCACCUGUGUUCCUCUGCACUGGGCCGUGGAUGACAUUACACACCUUGGUGAGAAUCAGGAAUUGAGGCUAACCACAUCUGAAAUUGAGCUCGCUCACUGGACAGGAUAGACUGGGCGCCCAGGCCUCAAG
rnacentral:lncRNA from 1 species